rnacentral:rRNA from 1 species
GGGCGUUAAGUUGCAGGGUAUAGACCCGAAACCCGGUGAUCUAGCCAUGGGCAGGUUGAAGGUUGGGUAACACUAACUGGAGGACCGAACCGACUAAUGUUGAAAAAUUAGCGGAUGACCUGUGGCUGGGGGUGAAAGGCCAAUCAAACCGGGAGAUAGCUGGUUCUCCCCGAAAGCUAUUUAGGUAGCGCCUCGUGAAUUCAUCUCCGGGGGUAGAGCACUGUUUCGGCUAGGGGGCCAUCCCGGCUUACCAACCCGAUGCAAACUGCGAAUACCGGAGAAUGUUAUCACGGGAGACACACGGCGGGUGCUAACGUCCGUCGUGAAGAGGGAAACAACCCAGACCGCCAGCUAAGGUCCCAAAGUCAUGGUUAAGUGGGAAACGAUGUGGGAAGGCCCAGACAGCCAGGAUGUUGGCUUAGAAGCAGCCAUCAUUUAAAGAAAGCGUAAUAGCUCACUGGUCGAGUCGGCCUGCGCGGAAGAUGUAACGGGGCUAAACCAUGCACCGAAGCUGCGGCAGCGACGUUUAUGCGUUGUUGGGUAGGGGAGCGUUCUGUAAGCCUGCGAAGGUGGCCUGUGAGGGUUGCUGGAGGUAUCAGAAGUGCGAAUGCUGACAUAAGUAACGAUAAAGCGGGUGAAAAGCCCGCUCGCCGGAAGACCAAGGGUUCCUGUC